AGAGUUUGAUCCUGGCUCAGGAUGAACGCUGGCGGCGUGCCUAAUACAUGCAAGUCGAGCGAACGGACGAGAAGCUUGCUUCUCUGAUGUUAGCGGCGGACGGGUGAGGAACACGUGGAUAACCUACCUAUAAGACUGGGAUAACUUCGGGAAACCGGAGCUAAUACCGGAUAAUAUUUUGAACCGCAUGGUUCAAAAGUGAAAGACGGUCUUGCUGUCACUUAUAGAUGGAUCCGCGCUGCAUUAGCUAGUUGGUAAGGUAACGGCUUACCAAGGCAACGAUGCAUAGCCGACCUGAGAGGGUGAUCGGCCACACUGGAACUGAGACACGGUCCAGACUCCUACGGGAGGCAGCAGUAGGGAAUCUUCCGCAAUGGGCGAAAGCCUGACGGAGCAACGCCGCGUGAGUGAUGAAGGUCUUCGGAUCGUAAAACUCUGUUAUUAGGGAAGAACAUAUGUGUAAGUAACUGUGCACAUCUUGACGGUACCUAAUCAGAAAGCCACGGCUAACUACGUGCCAGCAGCCGCGGUAAUACGUAGGUGGCAAGCGUUAUCCGGAAUUAUUGGGCGUAAAGCGCGCGUAGGCGGUUUUUUAAGUCUGAUGUGAAAGCCCACGGCUCACCCGUGGAGGGUCAUUGGAAACUGGAAAACUUGAGUGCAGAAGAGGAAAGUGGAAUUCCAUGUGUAGCGGUGAAAUGCGCAGAGAUAUGGAGGAACACCAGUGGCGAAGGCGACUUUCUGGUCUGUAACUGACGCUGAUGUGCGAAAGCGUGGGGAUCAAACAGGAUUAGAUACCCUGGUAGUCCACGCCGUAAACGAUGAGUGCUAAGUGUUAGGGGGUUUCCGCCCCUUAGUGCUGCAGCUAACGCAUUAAGCACUCCGCCUGGGGAGUACGACCGCAAGGUUGAAACUCAAAGGAAUUGACGGGGACCCGCACAAGCGGUGGAGCAUGUGGUUUAAUUCGAAGCAACGCGAAGAACCUUACCAAAUCUUGACAUCCUUUGACAACUCUAGAGAUAGAGCCUUCCCCUUCGGGGGACAAAGUGACAGGUGGUGCAUGGUUGUCGUCAGCUCGUGUCGUGAGAUGUUGGGUUAAGUCCCGCAACGAGCGCAACCCUUAAGCUUAGUUGCCAUCAUUAAGUUGGGCACUCUAAGUUGACUGCCGGUGACAAACCGGAGGAAGGUGGGGAUGACGUCAAAUCAUCAUGCCCCUUAUGAUUUGGGCUACACACGUGCUACAAUGGACAAUACAAAGGGCAGCGAAACCGCGAGGUCAAGCAAAUCCCAUAAAGUUGUUCUCAGUUCGGAUUGUAGUCUGCAACUCGACUACAUGAAGCUGGAAUCGCUAGUAAUCGUAGAUCAGCAUGCUACGGUGAAUACGUUCCCGGGUCUUGUACACACCGCCCGUCACACCACGAGAGUUUGUAACACCCGAAGCCGGUGGAGUAACCUUUUAGGAGCUAGCCGUCGAAGGUGGGACAAAUGAUUGGGGUGAAGUCGUAACAAGGUAGCCGUAUCGGAAGGUGCGGCUGGAUCACCU
rnacentral:rRNA from 1 species